rnacentral:lncRNA from 1 species
UUUGGCACUGGGGCAUCCCAGUAUGGCACCAGUUUGGCCCCAGUUCAGUUCCAGUUUGGAACCAGUGGGUCCCAGUUUGGAACCAGUUCGGUCCCAGUUCAAUAAAAGCCCCCCUGGGAGUUUUGGCUCAUCCCGAGGUUUCCAGCUGGAAAAAAAAAACCCGGGAAUUUUGGGUGGGAAAAAUGGGAAUUUGGGGAUUAAAACCAGGGAAUUUGGUACUAAAAAUGGAAAUUUUGGGAGGAAAACCCGGAAUUUUGGGAGCAAAACCAGGAAUUUUGGGAGGAGGAAGUGGCUUUCACAGGAAAAAANNNNNNNNNNNNNNNNNNNNNNNNNNNNNNNNNNNNNNNNNNNNNNNNNNNNNNNNNNNNNGAGGGAAGUGGCUUUCACAGGAAAAAAAAGGGAAUUUUGGGUGGGAAACAGGAAUUUUGGGGGGGGUUGAAUGGAAUUUUGCUGGAAAAACGGGAAUUUGGGCUGGAAAAUUUGGAGAUUUUGGGGGGAAAAAGAUUUGAAUUUUGGGGUUCGGGGCUGAAAUUUUGGGGUUCCUUGUGAGGUUUUGGGUUUGGAUUUUUUUUUUUGGUUCCUGGUUGGAACAUUGGUGGUUCCAGGUCAGGAUUUUGGGGUUCUGAAUUUGGAUUUAGGGUGUUCCAGGUCGAGAUUUGGGGGUUCUGUGUUUGAAUUUUGGGGUUCCUGGGUGAGAUUUUUCAGUGCCUGGUUGGGACUUUGGGGUUUUGUGUUUGAAUUUUGGGGUUCUGGGCUGGAAUUUUGAGGUUCCAGGUUGAGAUUUUGGGGUUCCAGGCUGGGAAUUCGGAGUUCCUUGAUGGGAUUUUGGGGUUCCAGGUUGGGAUUUUUGGGUUCUCUGUUUCAAUUUUGGGGUUCCAGGCUGGGAUUUUGGAGUUCUCUGUUUGAAUUUUGGAGUUCCUGGGUGGGAUUUUGGGGUUCUGUGUUUGAAUUUUGGGGUUCCAGGCUGGGAUUUUGGGGUUCUGUGGUUGAAUUUUGGGGUUCUCUGUUGGGAUUUUGGGGUUCCAGGUCGGGAUUUUGGGGUUCCAGGCUGGGAUUUUGGGGUUCUGUGUUUGAAUUUUGGGGUUCCAGGCUGGGAUUUUGGGGUUCUGUGGUUGAAUUUUGGGGUUCUCUGUUGGGAUUUUGGGGUUCCAGGUCGGGAUUUUGGGGUUCCAGGCUGGGAUUUUGGGGUUCUGUGUUUGAAUUUUGGGGUUCCAGGCUGGGAUUUUGGGGUUCUGUGGUUGAAUUUUGGGGUUCUCUGUUGGGAUUUUGGGGUUCCAGGUCGGGAUUUUGGGGUUCCAGGCUGGGAUUUUGGGGUUCUGUGUUUGAAUUUUGGGGUUCCAGGCUGGGAUUUUGGGGUUCUGUGGUUGAAUUUUGGGGUUCUCUGUUGGGAUUUUGGGGUUCCAGGUCGGGAUUUUGGGGUUCCAGGCUGGGAUUUUGGGGUUCUGUGUUUGAAUUUUGGGGUUCCAGGCUGGGAUUUUGGGGUUCUGUGGUUGAAUUUUGGGGUUCUCUGUUGGGAUUUUGGGGUUCCAGGUCGGGAUUUUGGGGUUCCAGGCUGGGAUUUUGGGGUUCUGUGUUUGAAUUUUGGGGUUCCAGGCUGGGAUUUUGGGGUUCUGUGUUUGAAUUUUGGGGUUCCAGGCUGGGAUUUUGGGGUUCUGUGUUUGAAUUUUGGGGUUCCAGGCUGGGAUUUUGGGGUUCUGUGUUUGAAUUUUGGGGUUCCAGGCUGGGAUUUUGGGGUUCUGUGGUUGAAUUUUGGGGUUCUCUGUUGGGAUUUUGGGGUUCCAGGUCGGGAUUUUGGGGUUCCAGGCUGGGAUUUUGGGGUUCUGUGGUUGAAUUUUGGGGUUCUCUGUUGGGAUUUUGGGGUUCCAGGUCGGGAUUUUGGGGUUCCAGGCUGGGAUUUUGGGGUUCUGUGGUUGAAUUUUGGGGUUCUCUGUUGGGAUUUUGGGGUUCCAGGUCGGGAUUUUGGGGUUCCAGGCUGGGAUUUUGGGGUUCUGUGGUUGAAUUUUGGGGUUCUCUGUUGGGAUUUUGGGGUUCCAGGUCGGGAUUUUGGGGUUCCAGGCUGGGAUUUUGGGGUUCUGUGGUUGAAUUUUGGGGUUCUCUGUUGGGAUUUUGGGGUUCCAGGUCGGGAUUUUGGGGUUCCAGGCUGGGAUUUUGGGGUUCUGUGGUUGAAUUUUGGGGUUCUCUGUUGGGAUUUUGGGGUUCCAGGUCGGGAUUUUGGGGUUCCAGGCUGGGAUUUUGGGGUUCUGUGGUUGAAUUUUGGGGUUCUCUGUUGGGAUUUUGGGGUUCCAGGUCGGGAUUUUGGGGUUCCAGGCUGGGAUUUUGGGGUUCUGUGGUUGAAUUUUGGGGUUCUCUGUUGGGAUUUUGGGGUUCCAGGUCGGGAUUUUGGGGUUCCAGGCUGGGAUUUUGGGGUUCUGUGGUUGAAUUUUGGGGUUCUCUGUUGGGAUUUUGGGGUUCCAGGUCGGGAUUUUGGGGUUCCAGGCUGGGAUUUUGGGGUUCUGUGGUUGAAUUUUGGGGUUCUCUGUUGGGAUUUUGGGGUUCCAGGUCGGGAUUUUGGGGUUCCAGGCUGGGAUUUUGGGGUUCUGUGGUUGAAUUUUGGGGUUCUCUGUUGGGAUUUUGGGGUUCCAGGUCGGGAUUUUGGGGUUCCAGGCUGGGAUUUUGGGGUUCUGUGGUUGAAUUUUGGGGUUCUCUGUUGGGAUUUUGGGGUUCCAGGUCGGGAUUUUGGGGUUCCAGGCUGGGAUUUUGGGGUUCUGUGGUUGAAUUUUGGGGUUCUCUGUUGGGAUUUUGGGGUUCCAGGUCGGGAUUUUGGGGUUCCAGGCUGGGAUUUUGGGGUUCUGUGGUUGAAUUUUGGGGUUCUCUGUUGGGAUUUUGGGGUUCCAGGUCGGGAUGUCAGGCUCCUCCCCCAGCUCCUCUCUGUAAUAUUCGGCGUCGUCCUCGUCCGACGGCUCCGCCUCACCUGCCUCAGGUGCGCCGGGGUCCUCGACGUCACUGUCACCUGUGGGGUCACCUGGGCCACCUGCAGGGGCACCUGGGCCACCUGCUGCCCGGCCCAUCCCGGCCAGGCUGCGCUCCCUGGGAGAGACAGGUCCUGCUCCUGUUUCCGGCGCCGCUCCGCCCUCACCUGCAGCCGCUGCUCCUUCCGGGCCAGCAGCUCCCGCAGCUCCUCCUCACCUUUGGGGGCUGGGGGAACACCUGAGAUCAGCUGGGUGCACCUGAGAUACACCUGGGCACACCUGAGAUACACCUGAGAUCAGCUGGGUGCACCUGAGAUGCACCUGGGCACACCUGAGAUACACCUGAGAUCAGCUGGGUGCACCUGAGAUGCACCUGGGCACACCUGAGAUACACCUGAGAUCAGCUGGGUGCACCUGAGAUGCACCUGGGCACACCUGAGAUACACCUGAGAUCAGCUGGGUGCACCUGAGAUGCACCUGGGCACACCUGAGAUACACCUGAGAUCAGCUGGGUGCACCUGAGAUGCACCUGGGCACACCUGAGAUACACCUGAGAUCAGCUGGGUGCACCUGAGAUGCACCUGGGCACACCUGAGAUACACCUGAGAUCAGCUGGGUGCACCUGAGAUCACCUGGGCACACCUGAGAUACACACCUGGGAUACACCUGUCCCCUCACCUGUCCCAGGUGUGUCACUCACCCAGGCCGUGGUACAGGACGUCGCCCUGGCCCAGCCCCUCCUCCACCUUCAGCAGCUGCAGCGUCAGACGGGGCCCGAUCUGGGAGAGGGGACAGAGGGACAGAGGGACAGACAGAGGGACACGGGGACA